UACAGAGACUGCAAGCGUUGUUCGGAUUCACUGGGCGUAAAGGGUGCGCAGGCGGCCGGGUGUGUCGGGUGUGAAAGCUCGAGGCUUAACCUCGAAACUGCGCCGAACUAUCCGGCUAGAGUACUGAGAGGAGGCGGAAUUCACGGUGUAGCAGUGAAAUAGCGUGGAUAUCGUGAGGAACACCCAAUGGCGAAGGCAGCCUCCUGGACAGUUACUGACGCUCAGGCACGAAAAGCGUGGGGGAGCAAAAACGGGGA
rnacentral:rRNA from 1 species